UGAGGAAUAUUGGUCAAUGGACGAGAGUCUGAACCAGCCAAGUAGCGUGCAGGACGACGGCCCUAUGGGUUGUAAACUGCUUUUGUACGGGGAUAAAGUGAGCCACGUGUGGUUUAUUGCAGGUACCGUACGAAUAAGGACCGGCUAAUUCCGUGCCAGCAGCCGCGGUAAUACGGAAGGUCCAGGCGUUAUCCGGAUUUAUUGGGUUUAAAGGGAGCGUAGGCCGCCCCUUAAGCGUGUUGUGAAAUGCCGCGGCUCAACCGUGGCACUGCAGCGCGAACUGGGGGGCUUGAGUGCACGCAACGCAGGCGGAAUUCGUGGUGUAGCGGUGAAAUGCUUAGAUAUCACGAAGAACUCCGAUUGCGAAGGCAGCUUGCGGGAGUGCGACUGACGCUGAAGCUCGAAGGUGCGGGUAUCGAACAGGAUUAGAUACCCUGGUAGU
rnacentral:rRNA from 1 species